GCACCUCUGUCAUGGCAGGGGUUAAAAGGGAAGCGGGUGAGAAUCCCGCGCAGACUCGCUACUGUGUUCGGUAGGGGUAGGGCCACGAGGCGCAGCGCGCCUCAGCCACUGGGAGACUGGGAAGGCGGCCCUGCUUGAAACCGUUAGUCAGGAGACCUGCUCAU
rnacentral:ncRNA from 1 species